GAGAGGAAGAGCAGGAGAGGCUUUUGGGAGCCAGAAGACACACAGCUUGGUGACUGAUGGCUGGAGGGAGAGUCGAGGGGCAGUGGUGAGAACAAGCAAGCAAGCUGCCAUGUUAUGGAGAGGCUCAAAGAAGAAGGAACUUAGGGCAGCCUCCACCAAUGGAAAGCAAGAAGAUGAGGCUCUCACCUCAACAGCCUCCGGGGACUUGAAUCCUGUCAACAGGCUCAUGGGUGAGCUUGGAAGCAGAUCUGCCCCAGGAGGUCCUGGUAAGGAACGAGGAACUAACAAGCUACCACCAACCGGAAGAAUUCGGGAAAGGUCAAAAGGAGAGAGGAGACACCAGUCCACAUGGCCUGCCAACCUCCCAGAAUCCUCCUCGCUGGAAUCCAUCUUGGCUGAGUGAUGCACGUGCCACCA